rnacentral:rRNA from 1 species
GUCGAGAAUAAUUCACAAUGGGGGCAACCCUGAUGGUGCAACGCCGCGUGGAGGAUGAAGGUCUUCGGAUUGUAAACUCCUGUCAUCCGGGAGCAAGACCUGGCCGUGAAUAGCGGACAGGGUUGAUAGUACCGGAAGAGGAAGGGACGGCUAACUUCGUGCCAGCAGCCGCGGUAAUACGAAGGUCCCGAGCGUUGUUCGGAAUCACUGGGCGUAAAGGGUGCGUAGGCGGCGUGGUAAGUCAGAUGUGAAAUCCCGGGGCUCAACCUCGGAACUGCAGCCGAUACUGCCAUGCUUGAGGGCUGGAGAGGUAACUGGAAUUCUCGGUGUAGCAGUGAAAUGCGUGGAUAUCGCGAGGAACACUCGUGGCGAAGGCGAGUUACUGGACAGCAUCUGACGCUGAGGCACGAAGGCCAGGGGAGCGAAAGGGAUUAGAUACCCGAGUAGUCC